rnacentral:misc_RNA from 1 species
GGAUGAAGAACGUAGCGAAAUGCGAUAAGUAAUGUGAAUUGCAGAAUUCAGUGAAUCAUCGAAUCUUUGAACGCACAUUGCGCCCGCCAGCAUUCUGGCGGGCAUGCCUGUUCGAGCGUCAUUUCAACCCUCGAGCCCCCCCGGGGGCCUCGGUGUUGGGGGACGGCACACCAGCCGCCCCCGAAAUGCAGUGGCGACCCCGCCGCAGCCUCCCCUGCGUAGUAGCACACACCUCGCACCGGAGCGCGGAGGCGGUCACGCCGUAAAACGCCCAACUUUCUUAGAGUUGACCUCGGAUCAGGUAGGAAUACCCGCUGAACUUAAGCAUAUCAAUAAGCGGAGGA